ensembl:miRNA
AGAGGCAGGCGGAUCUCUGUGAGUUCGAGGCCAGCCUGGUCUACAGAGUGAGUUCCAGGACAGCCUCCAAAGCUACAGAGAAACCCUGUCUCAAAAAG